rnacentral:rRNA from 1 species
AUGCUCCUACGGGGCGCAGCAGUGGGGAGUAUUGCACAAUGGGGGAAACCCUGAUGCAGCGACGCCGCGUGAGUGAAGAAGUAUUUCGGUAUGUAAAGCUCUAUCAGCAGGGAAGAAAAUGACGGUACCUGACUAAGAAGCCCCGGCUAACUACGUGCCAGCAGCCGCGGUAAUACGUAGGGGGCAAGCGUUAUCCGGAUUUACUGGGUGUAAAGGGAGCGUAGACGGCGGAACAAGUCAGAAGUGAACACCCGGGGCUCAACCCUGGGAGUGCUUUUGAAACUGUUUGGCUGGUGUGCAGGAGG